GGGCCCGUAGCUCAGUUGGGAGAGCACUUCAAUGGCAUUGAAGGGGUCGCAGGUUCAAUUCCUGUCGGGUCCA
rnacentral:tRNA from 5 species